UUUGAAAUACCGGUUCCCGUACUAUCACCGAAGUAAAGCAACGCUGAGACUGGUCAGUACAUAGAUGGGUGACCGUUUCGGAAUACCAGGUACUGUAAG